GCAAUACCUGGAAACAGGUCCCUCCGCAAGGACGGUUGCACAGAUCAGGCAUGGCUGUCGUCAGCUAAAGUCCACAGAUGUUGGGUUAAGUCCCGCAACGAGUGCAACCCUAGUUGCCAGUUGAAUAGUCGGGCGGGACUGCCCGGACAAACCCGGAGGAAGGUGGGGAUGACGUCAAGUCAGCACGGAUUUUACGUCUGGGGUCACACACACGGUACAAUAUCCGGUACAGAGGGCAGCUAAGCCGCGAGGUGGAGCAAAUCCCAAAAAGCCGGUAUCAGUUCGGAUUGCAGGCUGCAACUCGCGGCAUGAAGUCGGAGUUGCUAGUAACCGCAGGUCAGCACACUGCCAGAAUACGUUCCCGGUCCUUGUACACACCGCCUGUCACGUCAUGAAAGUCGGAGACGCCUGAAGCCGGUGGGCCAACCGUAAGGGGGCAGCCGUAGAGGGUGGAGCCGGCGAUUGGGACGAAGUUGUAACAAGGUAGCCGUACCGGAAGG
rnacentral:rRNA from 1 species